rnacentral:rRNA from 1 species
CGGACGGGUGAGGAACGCGUAGGGAUUUGUCGUUGGGUGGGGGAUAACCGCGGGAAACUGCGGCUAAUACCGCAUGACGCCUGUGGGCCAAAGGUGUGUGAGCACUGCCUGACGAGGAGCCUGCGUCCGAUUAGCUAGUAGGUUGGGUAAUGGCUGACCUAGGCUGUGAUCGGUAGCUGGUCUGAGAGGAUGAUCAGCCACACUGGGACUGAGACACGGCCCAGACUCCUACGGGAGGCAGCAGCG